AUAUUACUAUACUGGCAUUUGUUUUUAAAAAGCUGUCGAUAUUCAACCAGCAUGCCUUGGACUUUAUUGUGGGAAGACCCUAUUAUUUAAAAAUGGCUCAACUGAAAUAUAUGGAGAAUGUGGGGUAUGCCCAAGAGGACAGAGAACGAAUGCACAGAAAUAUUGUCAGCCUUGCACAGAAUCUCCUGAACUUUAUGAUUGGCUCUAUCUUGGAUUUAUGGCAAUGCUUCCUCUGGUUUUACAUUGGUUCUUCAUUGAAUGGUACUCGGGGAAAAAGAGUUCCAGCGCACUUUUCCAACACAUCACUGCAUUAUUUGAAUGCAGCAUGGCAGCUAUUAUCACCUUACUUGUGAGUGAUCCAGUUGGUGUUCUUUAUAUUCGUUCAUGUCGAGUAUUGAUGCUUUCUGACUGGUACACGAUGCUUUACAACCCAAGUCCAGAUUACGUUACCACAGUGCACUGUACUCAUGAAGCCGUCUACCCACUAUAUACCAUUGUAUUUAUCUAUUAUGCAUUCUGCUUGGUAUUAAUGAUGCUGCUCCGACCUCUUCUGGUGAAGAAGAUUGCAUGUGGGUUAGGGAAAUCUGAUCGAUUUAAAAGUAUUUAUGCUGCACUUUACUUCUUCCCAAUUUUAACCGUGCUUCAGGCAGUUGGUGGAGGCCUUUUAUAUUAUGCCUUCCCAUACAUUAUAUUAGUGUUAUCUUUGGUUACUCUGGCUGUGUACAUGUCCGCUUCUGAAAUAGAGAACUGCUAUGAUCUUCUGGUCAGAAAGAAAAGACUUAUUGUUCUCUUCAGCCACUGGUUACUUCAUGCCUAUGGAAUAAUCUCCAUUUCCAGAGUGGAUAAACUUGAGCAAGAUUUGCCCCUUUUGGCUUUGGUACCUACACCAGCCCUUUUUUACUUGUUCACUGCAAAAUUUACUGAACCUUCACGGAUACUCUCAGAAGGAGCCAAUGGACACUGAGUGUAGACAUGUGAAAUGCCAAAAACCUGAGAAGUGCUCCUAAUAAAAAAGUAAAUCAAUCUUAACAAUGUAUGAGAACUAUUCUGUCAUAUAUGGGAACAAGAUUGUAAGUAUAUCUUAAUGUUUGGGUUUGUCUUUGUUUUGUUUAUGGUUAGACUUACAGACUUGGAAAAUGCAAAACUCCGUAAUACUCUGUUACACAGGGUAAUAUUAUCUGCUGUACUGGAAGGCCGCUAGGAAGCCCUUGCUUCUCUCAACAGUUCAGCUGUUCUUUAGGCAAAAUCAUGUUUCUGUGUACCUAGCAAUGUGUUCACAUUUUAUUAAGAAAAAAUUUAACCCGUGUAAUCUGCAAUCCUUAACAGUGGCAUAAUUGUACGUACCUGUUGUGUUUCAGUUUGUUUUUCACCUAUAAUGAACUGUAAAGACAUACAUACUUGUGGGGUCUGAUAGCAAACAUAGAAAUGAUGUAUAUUGUUUUUUGUUAUCUAUUUAUUUUCACCAAUACAGUAUUUUGAUGUAUUGCAAAAAUAGAUAAUAAUUUAUAUAACAGGUUUUCUGUUUAUAGAUUGGUUCAAGAUUUGUUUGGAUUAUUGUUCCUGUAAAGAAAACAAUAAUAAAAAGCUUAACUACAUAAAAUUUCAAUGUUUUGACACUUAAUUGUUGUUUGGCACAAUAGUAUGGAAGUAAUUCAGACUGGUAAAUAGUUUCCUCUCAUAUCUCGGGUAUAUAUACAUACCAUGUUUUAUCGACCCAGAGAUACUUAUUUCACAUUGUGACAUCUCUGAAUUAGGAUGCAUCUUACAACUGAUGGUUUAUUAGAUUUAAUGAAAUACAGAAGAUACACAGUAUAAAAAGGGUUUUCCUGUGGUUGGUUUGUGGUUUGUAAUAGGUGUUCUGUGAUGUUUAUGCUUUGAAGGCCUUGAGACUCAUGGUUGCAAUCAUGGAAGUGAAAUGAAAUUUUUAGCUCUUAACCUAACAAACAACCUGACCAUGUUUAUCCAUUUUUAUUGUUUAGAAGUUUUACUGAUACUUGGUGGAGGGUGUGAAUUAGUUAAAUUUUAAAUGUUUAAGACUUCUAUUAACAGCUGCAAAAUAUGAAAGUAAGUGCACUCACUUUUCCUGCAGUUGUCUGUCUUUUGAAUUCACAGCAGUUGUAUCCUUGAGUUAUUUUGUUAAUGUAUUUUUCUCAGUACAGUUAAGCACUGGGAAAUGAACCCUUGUACGAAUGUGUUUCUUCUUUUCUGUAGGAAUAAAAAAUAAAUGUAAAAAUGUUAUUUGUAUUGCACACGUUUGGGGGGUUAUUAGUGUUCAUUAAAAUUCUGAGUUGCCCAAAGAA
rnacentral:sRNA from 1 species